rnacentral:tRNA from 1 species
GCGGGGAUGCCGGAGCGGUCAAACGGGGCGGACUCAAGAUCCGCUAGCUUAGUGCUUACCUAGGUUCGAAUCCUAGUCCCCGCA